GACUGCUCAUGUGGCCUAGUGGUUAGAGCGUUCGCCUAUGAUGCGGGAAGUUGUGGGUUAGAAUUCCGGCAGAGUCA